rfam:chromosome VII of strain GB-M1 of Encephalitozoon cuniculi (Microspora)
GGGUCCUUAGUAUAAUGGUAGAACACUUGGCUUCGGACCAAAUAGUCCGGGUUCGAAUCCCGGAGGACUCG